GAGGGUACGGCUCACUGGUAGAGCAAGUGCUUAGCAUGCAAGAGGUCCUGGGUUCAAUUCCCAGUAUCUCCA
rnacentral:tRNA from 1 species